AUGAGCAGUGUGAAGGCUGCUAUCUCACUCGUGUUUCAUGUUUCAGAGUCCCCGAGGAAUCCCACCCUCUACCCACUGAGCCUCCCAUCAUCUCUGUCAAGUGACCCAGUGACCAUCGGCUGCCUGAUUUAUGAUUACUUCCCAUCCGCACCAGUGAAUGUGACCUGGGGCAAGAGUGGAGGGGAUAUAACCACCAUAAACUUCCCACCUGCCCAGACCUCUGAGGGGCGGUACAUCAUGAGCAGCCGGUUGACCCUGCCAGCUGAUGAGUGCCCAGAAAAGUCCUUUGUGAAGUGCUCCGUGCAACUUGCCUCUAACCCCGUCCAAGAAGUGGAUGUGAACUGCCUUGGUUCUACUUGUCCUCCUACUCCUUGUCCUCCAAUAACCUGCAGUCCCAGCCUGUCACUGCAGCGGCCAGCUCUUGAGGACCUGCUCAUAGGUUCAGACGCCAGCCUCACAUGUACUCUGAGUGGCCUGAAAAAUCCUGAGGGAGCCGUCUUCACCUGGCAGCCCACCACUGGGAAGGAUGCAGUGCAGAAGACACCUGUGCAGGACUCCUGUGGCUGCUACAGUGUGUCCAGCGUCCUGCCUGGCUGUGCUGAGCGCUGGAACAGUGGAACGACCUUCACAUGCACAGUCACCCACCCUGAGUCCAACACCGCCUUAACUGGCACAAUUGCCAAAAUCACAGAGAACACCUUCCCGCCCCAGGUCCACCUGUUCCCGCCGCCGUCGGAGGAGCUGGCCCUGAAUGAGCUCGUGUCCCUGACAUGCCUGGUACGAGGAUUCUACCCUGAAGAUGUGCUGAUCCGUUGGCUGCAUGGAAAUGAGGAGCUGUCCCCUAAUAGCUACCUAGUGUCUGAGCCCCUAAAGGAGCUACAUGAAGGAGCCACCACCUUCCUGGUGACAAGCGUGCUGCGUGUGUCGGCUGAAACCUGGAAACAGGGUGCCCAGUACUCAUGCAUGGUGGGCCACCAGGCCUUGCCCCUGACCUUCACCCAGAAGACCAUCGACCGUAUGUCGGGUAAACCCACCAACGUCAAUGUGUCUGUGAUCAUGUCAGAGGGCGAUGGCGUCUGCUACUGAGCCACCCUACCUGUCCCUACUCCUUAAAUAAACUCUGUGCUCAUCCAAAGUA